rnacentral:rRNA from 1 species
GGACAACCUCGGGAAACUGAGGACAAUCCCGGAUAGGCGAUGGACGCUGGAAUGCCUCAUCGCCCAAAGCUCCGGCGCUCGAGGAUGAGACUGCGGCCUAUCAGGCUGUUGGUGGUGUAACGGACCACCAAACCUACGACGGGUAUGGGCAAUGAGAGUUGGAGCCCAGAGAUGGGGGCUGAGACACGGCCCCAGGCCCUACGGGGCGCAGCAGGCGCGAAAACUCCGCAAUACGCGAAAGCGUGACGGGGGAACUCCAAGUGCGCUCGCGCAAGCGAGUGCUUUUGCAGAGUCUAAAAAGCUCUGAGAAUAAAAGCGGGGUAAGACCGGUGCCAGCCGCCGCGGUAACACCGGCCGCUUGAGUGGUGACCGCUAUUAUUGGGCCUAAAGCGUCCGUAGCCGGUUUGGCAAGUCUUUAGAUAAAUCCACUCGUUCCACGAAUGGAAUUCUGAGGAUACUACCAGACUCGGGGGCGAGAGAAGUCGGAGGUACUUCUGGGGUAGCGGUGAAAUGUUAUAAUCCUAGAGGGACCACCAGUGGCGAAGGCGUCCGACUAGAGCGCGCCCGACGGUGAGGGACGAAAGCCAGGGGAGCGAACGGGAUUAGAUACCCCGGUAGUCCUGGCCGUAAACGCUGCGGGCUAGGUGUUACGUCCUCUACGUGGGGGCGUAGUGCCGUAGAGAAGUUGAUAAGCCUGCCGCCUGGGAAGUAUUACCGCAAGGUAGAAACUUAAAGGAAUUGGCGGGGGAGC